GACGAACGCUGGCGGCGUGCCUAAUACAUGUAAGUCGAACGAACUCUGGUAUUGAUUGGUGCUUGCAUCAUGAUUUACAUUUGAGUGAGUGGCGAACUGGUGAGUAACACGUGGGAAACCUGCCCAGAAGCGGGGGAUAACACCUGGAAACAGAUGCUAAUACCGCAUAACAACUUGGACCGCAUGGUCCGAGCUUGAAAGAUGGCUUCGGCUAUCACUUUUGGAUGGUCCCGCGGCGUAUUAGCUAGAUGGUGGGGUAACGGCUCACCAUGGCAAUGAUACGUAGCCGACCUGAGAGGGUAAUCGGCCACAUUGGGACUGAGACACGGCCCAAACUCCUACGGGAGGCAGCAGUAGGGAAUCUUCCACAAUGGACGAAAGUCUGAUGGAGCAACGCCGCGUGAGUGAAGAAGGGUUUCGGCUCGUAAAACUCUGUUGUUAAAGAAGAACAUAUCUGAGAGUAACUGUUCAGGUAUUGACGGUAUUUAACCAGAAAGCCACGGCUAACUACGUGCCAGCAGCCGCGGUAAUACGUAGGUGGCAAGCGUUGUCCGGAUUUAUUGGGCGUAAAGCGAGCGCAGGCGGUUUUUUAAGUCUGAUGUGAAAGCCUUCGGCUCAACCGAAGAAGUGCAUCGGAAACUGGGAAACUUGAGUGCAGAAGAGGACAGUGGAACUCCACGUGUAGCGGUGAAAUGCGUAGAUAUAUGGAAGAACACCAGUGGCGAAGGCGGCUGUCUGGUAUGUAACCGACGCUGAGGCGCGAAAGUAUGGGUAGCAAACAGGAUUAGAUACCCUGGUAGUCCAUACCGUAAACGAUGAAUGCUAAGUGUUGGAGGGUUUCCGCCCUUCAGUGCUGCAGCUAACGCAUUAAGCAUUCCGCCUGGGGAGUACGGCCGCAAGGCUGAAACUCAAAGGAAUUGACGGGGGCCCGCACAAGCGGUGGAGCAUGUGGUUUAAUUCGAAGCUACGCGAAGAACCUUACCAGGUCUUGACAUACUAUGCAAAUCUAAGAGAUUAGACGUUCCCUUCGGGGACAUGGAUACAGGUGGUGCAUGGUUGUCGUCAGCUCGUGUCGUGAGAUGUUGGGUUAAGUCCCGCAACGAGCGCAACCCUUAUUAUCAGUUGCCAGCAUUAAGUUGGGCACUCUGGUGAGACUGCCGGUGACAAACCGGAGGAAGGUGGGGAUGACGUCAAAUCAUCAUGCCCCUUAUGACCUGGGCUACACACGUGCUACAAUGGAUGGUACAACGAGUUGCGAACUCGCGAGAGUAAGCUAAUCUCUUAAAGCCAUUCUCAGUUCGGAUUGUAGGCUGCAACUCGCCUACAUGAAGUCGGAAUCGCUAGUAAUCGCGGAUCAGCAUGCCGCGGUGAAUACGUUCCCGGGCCUUGUACACACCGCCCGUCACACCAUGAGAGUUUGUAACACCCAAAGUCGGUGGGGUAACCUUUUAGGAACCAGCCGCCUAAGGUGGGACAGAUGAUUAGGGUG
rnacentral:rRNA from 2 species